rnacentral:lncRNA from 1 species
GUCGAGGGUGGUUCCUCCUUCCUCUCACAUUUCCUGGAGUAGAUGGAAUCUAAGUGCAGCUAAGAAAACUGAAAUUACAGCAUGCUUUUAGCUGUUCACCGAUGCGGUUUGUGCUUCACAGGUGAGAGCUGAGGAUUCCAAAGAGCGAAGUGGAUUCUGGCUGAGGCUGAGCCGGUAAUCAGCAUUGUUGGCUUUUUCUGAGUAGGUGCAGAGAGUGAAUGUACAUUCAGAAAUGCUUCGUGGUCCCUGUAUUCCAAGAAAAAAGAGGUUCUACAGGCUCAUGCUCCAACCUCCUUUUCCAGCAG